AUGCUAGAAGAGGCAGAAGAAGUAGGGAUAAAACAUGAAAAAUCUUGCAUAACACAGAUAUUUGGCUUCCAUUAUGUAAUUGGUGAGGAGCUAUCGAAAAUGUUUAGUGAAUUCCGGGGAUUUAGCUCAGUGGUUUCGCCGCCUGCUGCACAAGUGCAAGGACACAAGUUCGAUCCCCGUACCAAAAAAAAAAAAAUGUUUAGUGAUAUAAUGAAAAGUAUUAUGGAAUAUGGCUUGGUGGAGGGAAAGACUGGAAAUAGACUAGGUGGCUAUUGCAGUAGUCCAGCCAGGUACUGAAUGUGUGGUUAGAGUCGAAAGGGAUUAAGAGGUAGAAUUAACAAGUUGGUGAGCAAUCAGAUGACUCCUAAUUUUCUGACGGAGCACAGAUGGAGGGUUCAUUAUGAUUUAGUGAGGAUAAAACAGUUACCUUCAGUGACUGUGGCUUACUCUUCAGUGUAUUCGUUUGGAAAUCCCGAGUGAGCUCUACCAUUUGCUUUUCCUUUGUUUGAAACCAACCUCAUUGCUGAAUAAUGCCAGAGAAACACAUAAUUAGGGUUAUUGCUGUUUAAAUUUAUGACCGCAAACCUCAACCCAGAACUCAAUACUGCCCAGUAACAUUACCACAUCUAUUAGCUUGCUAAGGCUGUGUCGCAGUCACGUUUGUCACUGCUGGAACAAAAUACCUGACACCCACAACAUACAAGAGAGGUUUAUUUUGACUCAUGGUCACAUUCCAGCUGGCUUCAAGGCAGAAAUGGUAUAGUGGAAGAGUCUGGCAAAGGAAAGCUGCUCACGUUAUGGUGGCCAGGAAAUAAGGGAGGAGCCAGGGAGAGAGACCUAUUCUGGGCCCAGCCCCAGUACCCAGGCCCCCCUCCUAAUACCGAGUCAGCUGUGAAGUCAUCAGUGAUGGAUACAGUGCAUCCAUAACCCAGUCACUUCCCAGAUACCUAAGACUUUUGGGGGACACCCAAGAUCUAAACCUUAACAGGGUGUCAUACCAACACACUACAACCUGGGUGGUUUUAAAACAAAAAUUUAUAUUCUCACCAUUCUAGAGUUCUAGAAAUACAAGAUGGAGGGGUGGACAGGACUGGUUUUCUCUGAGGGUAAUAGAAAAACUGUUACAGACCACUCUUGUCUUCACAUGGUUGUUCCUCUGUACAUGUAUAUGUCUAGUGCAGUGGUAGCGAACAUAUGGCAUGAGCUGUAUCAUUGAAAGCUCUAAAAAUUUCACCAUAACCGGUCUACUGUCCAUUUGUUUCCAUAUUUCCUCUUAAAAAGAUACCAGCCAUAUUGGGUUAGGGCCUAUCCUAACCCUAACCCUGUCCUAACUACCCAUUUAAUUACUGCCUUUAAAGAUCUUAUCUCCAAAUUUGGUCAGAUUCUUGAGAUAUUGGGCUUUAGGACCGUAAUAUGAAUUGCUUUCAGUUUCUUUUUAUGAAUGAAGCUGUUAGCCUCUAUAUGAAUAAAUGCUUUCAUUAUUUUCCUGGUAACAACUUUGGACUACAAUUUCUGGGUUACUUGGUAAGUGUAUAUGUGACUGUGUGUGUGUGUGUGUGUGUGUGUGUGUGUGCUUGAUUGAACCCAGGACCUCACAUACUCUAGGCAAACACUCUUUAUCACUGAGUUACAUCCCAGCCUCAUAUUUGACUUAAGAAUUUACCAAACUUUUUCCAAGAGAUUUUAUUCUUUUACAUUCCCACCCAAAAUAUAUAAAACUUCCAGUGCUCUGAAUCCUCUGCAACAUGUGGUAUUAUCAGGGUCUUAAAUUUCAGUCCUUUCAUUAAUUGGUUUUUUUCCCCAUUAAGUUUAUUGGUCCAUUUUAGGUAUACAAUACAGUUACAUUCACCACUGGGAUCUUGUACCUUUACACGAUGCAUCUUGAUUCUUAUUUUUUCCCCUUCCCCUGUCCUCCCUUCACC
rnacentral:lncRNA from 1 species